rnacentral:lncRNA from 1 species
CUACAUCCUUCAAAGCUUCCUUGAUGUUCUUGGGUUCAAUGGAUGAUAUGAAUGCUGAAUAUGCAACUAGAUUUCUUGAUUUAGACCUAGUUUGAAUUCCUGAGUCGAGUGGAGAGAUGAUAUUGUCUAGUGGAUGUGAAGAUUGAUGUUUCCAUCCAGACUUUCUAGUAAUCUCUUCUUCUCUGUCAGCAUCAGAAUCACCUUCAUCUUCUUCAAGAUUUUGAGACAAUAUUUCUUGUGAUGGAC